rnacentral:rRNA from 1 species
UACAGAGGGGGGCAAGCGUUAUUCGGAAUUAUUGGGCGUAAAGGGCGCGUAGGCGGCUUUGCAAGUGACGGGUGAAAUCCCACGGCUUAACCGUGGAACUGCCUGUCAGACUGCAUGGCUUGAGACCAGGAGAGGUGAGUGGAAUUCCCAGUGUAGCGGUGAAAUGCGUAGAUAUUGGGAGGAACACCAGUGGCGAAGGCGGCUCACUGGACUGGUACUGACGCUGAGGCGCGAAAAGCGUGGGGGAGCAAACAGG